rnacentral:rRNA from 1 species
UACGUAGGGGGCAAGCGUUGUCCGGAAUCAUUGGGCGUAAAGAGCGUGUAGGCGGCCCGAUAAGUCCGCUGUGAAAGUCCAGGGCUCAACCCUGGAAUGCCGGUGGAUACUGUCGGGCUCGAAUCCGGAAGAGGUGAGUGGAAUUCCUGGUGUAGCGGUGAAAUGCGCAGAUAUCAGGAGGAACACCAAUGGCGAAGGCAGCUCACUGGGACGGCAUUGACGCUGAGACGCGAAAGCGUGGGGAGCAAACAGG